rnacentral:lncRNA from 1 species
UAAUUUGGAGGAAUUGGAAUUGGAAUUGGAAUGUAUUGUAUUUAAGGACAGAGGAACAAGUAUAUUAAUAGUGACGACUGACGAGCCUAUUCUUAAAACAUGCUACAUGGAUUGGGAUGUGCCAGUUUACUGUCGCUUAUUGUGACACGAUGAACGUAUACGGCUAUACGCGAUAUACGCGACGGAGCAAGAGAGUUUCCUUCCCCAUUUCACGGUCGCUCGUUCUCGAUGUUACUCACUGUUUGCCGCCGCUUGUGUGGGGUACGUUGCAGGGCGGCGGAUGGGCGGAUGGCAC